CUGGAGUACUCGAGUGGCGAACGGGUGAGUAACACGUGGGUAAUCUGCCCUGCACUCUGGGAUAAGCCUGGGAAACUGGGUCUAAUACUGGAUAUGACCUUUCUCCUUAUGGGGUUUGGUGGAAAGUUUUUCGGUGUAGGAUUAGCCCGCGGCCUAUCGGCUUGUUGGUGGGGUGAUGGCCUACCAAGGCGACGACGGGUAGCCGGCCUGAGAGGGUGAUCGGCCACAUUGGGACUGAGAUACGGCCCAG
rnacentral:rRNA from 1 species